rnacentral:rRNA from 1 species
CAGCAGUGAGGAAUAUUGGUCAAUAGCCUAACGGCUGAACCAGCAACUUGGAAGAAUGUAUAGCUAAGCUAAAUGUUUUUUUUUACAAAAAACAUAUUCGAUUUAUUCGUAUAAAGUUCUAGGUAGAGUUAUGAUAAUGACAUUCUCUAUCUAUAAGUCUUGACAAACAUGCGUGCCAGCAGUCGCGGCAAGACGCUAAAGACUAGUGUUAUUCAUUUUUAAUAGGUUUUAAGGGUACCUAGACGGUAAAUUAAGCCUUAAUUGGAACUAAUUUAACUAGAGUUACAUGUAAGGGUGCAGUAACGUACUAUUGAGUGUAGAGAUGAAAUUCUGUCAUACCAGAUGAUUGGCACGGGUUUAGGCGAAAGCAUCACCUUAUGUAAUAACUGACGUUGAGGGACGAAGGCUUUUAAUGUAAAAAGGAUUAGAUACCCUCGUAGUCAAAGCAGAAAAUGAUGAAUGUCAUAGAUUAGAUAUUAUUUAUUCUAUAAAUGAAAGUGUAAGCAUUCCACCUCAAGAGUAAUUUGGCAACAUUGGAAUUGAAAUCAUUAGACCGUUUCUGAAACCAGUAGUGAAGUA